CAAUAGCGUAUAUUAAAGUUGUUGCAGUUAAAAAGCUCGUAGUUGGGUUUCUGGGAGGGUGCCAAUGUCCGCCGACGUGCGUGCGCAGCGGCGCCCUUCCAUCCUUCUGUUAACGCCUCUUGGCAUUCAUUUGCUGGUGGCGGGCUCAGAUAUUUUACCUUGAGAAAAUUAGAGUGUUUCAGGCAGGCUAGGCCGGAAUACAUUAGCAUGGAAUAAUGGAAUAGGACUACGGUCUCUUUGUUGGUUUGAGGGACUGCAGUAAUGAUUAAUAGGGAUAGUUGGGGGCAUUAGUAUUUAAUUGUCAGAGGUGGAAUUCUCGGAUUUGUUAAAGACUAACUUAUGCGAAAGCAUUUGCCAAGGAUGUUUNCAUUA
rnacentral:rRNA from 1 species